GUUUCUGUAGUGUAGUGGGUCAUCACCUUUCGCCUAACACGCGAAAGGUCCUCGGUUCGAAACCGAGCAGAAACA